UCCAUUUGCACUUAGGCUGAAUCUCAUUUCUCUGUCUUACCCCUUCCCCUUACCCCUUCCCCUUAGUUUUGCGCAUUCAUGUGAGAGUAAGGGCUAUCCCAAUUCUUAUUUUGAUCGAGGGGUAGGGCUAAGGGGAAGGGCUAGAUACCCCUUAAAACCAAGCAAAGACGAGAGCUUACUU